GGAUGUGAGGGCGAUCUGGCUGCGACAUCUGUCACCCCACUGAUCGCCAGGGUUGAUUCGGCUGAUCUGGCUGGCUAGGCGGGUGUCCCCCUCCUCCCUCACCGAUCCAUGUGCGUCCCUCCCGAAGCUGCGCGCUCGGUCGAAGAGGACGACCGCCCCCCCCUCACCCCCACAGAAGAGGACUGGUCUUCGGUCAAGGGUAUAUGAGUAGCUUCGCUCCCCUGCUAGAACCCCCAGACAAGCUCUCAAGGAACUGGGAAACCAAGUCCUUUUAUUAGACCUCAGUUAUUAAAGCAUAUUUGGUACCAGUAUAU
rnacentral:snRNA from 1 species